AUGACGUUCGUGACCGUGAAGGGUGGUGGUCACACGGCGCCUGAGUACGAGCCUGACAGGCAACAUACCUGGGGUCCUCUGCCGCCAUUUGGCCAUAGCUGGAGCUCAUCGUCGGUCGUCGUGUCUCCGACCCUGCCCGCGCACAAGAUGAAGAGGUUGUGGGAGUUGUACUUGGACGAUUUUGCGUUAGAGGAGGAUGAAGAAGCUGUUGAUUUGAGUUGGUGCCCACCGCGAUCAUUCGAGAGGAGGAUUUUAGGAGACCGAGGCAUGGUUCUCGGACUGGUCGCAUCCUUCAGGGUCGUCAUGAUCUAG
rnacentral:rRNA from 1 species